rnacentral:rRNA from 1 species
ACUGGAACUGAGACACGGUCCAGACUCCUACGGGAGGCAGCAGUAGGGAAUUUUCCACAAUGGGCGAAAGCCUGAUGGAGCAACGCCGCGUGCAGGAUGAAGGCCUUCGGGUCGUAAACUGCUUUUAUAUGUGAAGACAUCGACGGUAGCAUAUGAAUAAGGAUCGGCUAACUCCGUGCCAGCAGCCGCGGUCAUACGGAGGAUCCAAGCGUUAUCCGGAAUUACUGGGCGUAAAGAGUUGCGUAGGCGGCCAAGUAAGCAGAAUGUGAAAUGAUACGGCUCAACCGUAUCCCCAUGUUUUGAACUACUUGGCUAGAGAAUGGAAGAGGUCGCUAGAAUUCCUGGUGUAGGGGUGAAAUCCGUAGAUAUCAGGAGGAAUACCGAUGGCGUAGGCAGGCGACUGGUCCAUUUCUGACGCUCAGGCACGAAAGCGUGGGGAGCGAUCGGGAUUAGAUACCCCGGUAGUCCACGCCGUAAACGAUGGAUGCUAGCUGUGCGAGGUAUCGACCCCUUGCGUAGCAAAGCUAACGCGUUAAGCAUCCCGCCUGUGGAGUACGAGCGCAAGCUUAAAACAUAAAGGAAUUGACGGGGACCCGCACAAGCGGUGGAGCGUGUUGUUUAAUUCGAUGCAAAGCGAAGAACCUUACCCAGGUUUGACAUCCUGCGAAGGUUUGCGAAAGCAGACUGUGCCUUUUGGAACGCAGUGACAGGUGAUGCAUGGCCGUCGUCAGCUCGUGUCGUGAGAUGUUUGGUUAAGUCCAUCAACGAGCGCAACCCUUAUAGUUAGUUGAAUUUUUCUAGCUAGACUGCCUCGGUAACGGGGAGGAAGGAGGGGACGACGUCAGGUCAGUAUUUCCCUUACAUCUGGGGCUACAAACACGCUACAAUGGCCGGUACAAAGGGCAGCUAAGUCGCGAGACGGAGCAAAUCCCAUCAAAGCCGGUCCAAGUUCGGAUUGCAGGCUGAAACUCGCCUGCAUGAAGCUGGAAUCGCUAGUAACGGUAGGUCAGCACACUACCGUGAAUACGUUCCCGGGUCUUGUACACACCGCCCGUCAAGCCACGAAAGUCGUCAAUACCCAAAGUCCUAGCUUGUCUAGGCCUAAGGUU